rnacentral:lncRNA from 1 species
GCUCCCAACAAAACGGUUCCAUCUUUGGCUAGGCCUUUGGUAUUUCAAGGCGCUGCCGGUGGGGAGAGAUGCCGCGUGCCUGAGAGGCUCUGGGAGGCACCAAAGAAGGCCCAGAGAGGUUUAACAACUUCCUCAGAAUCACACAGCUUCCAAAUGGUUGGGUUGGGUUUACAUUUAGGCGGUCUUGCUCCAGAGCCAGUGCUCCUAACCUUUGCAAGCCACGAACCUCAAGAAAGUGGAGAAGGAAACGCUGGGAAAUCUGGAAGUCAGACAUGGCAAGUUUUUCUCACUGUAAGAAGAGGACAAUAGCCUAUGAUCUACAGUGCCCAUUCCAACUCAGAGAAUCUUUACAUCUGGAGAUCUAUAGCAGGGCUAUCCCUAGUGACAUGCGUGAAGAAGCUUGGAAAUGGUGCUGGGUAGGAGCUGAGUGUGCAGAAUGUGGAAAGGCAUUCUAAACCAAAGGAAGAACACGAGUAAAGAUGAUGAAGCAGGGAUAAGGCUAAAAUGAAAUUUGUGAUCUGAUCCACAUACAAGCACAGUGUAGUACAGCUGGAAUAUAGAGAAGAGCUUGAAGACUUAUGAGCAACUAUCCCGGUACUCUUGGAGGCUCUGCAACCACAGUUUGAGAAACUCCGCGUUCAAAGUUAAAAACUGUCACCUGAAUAGUUAAUAACAUCAAAGAUUGUGAAAGCAAGUAUAAAUAACACAGAGAUUAAAAUAAUGAGGCAGGAU